GUAGUUUGAUCCUGGCUCAGGAUGAACGCUGGCGGCGUGCUUAACACAUGCAAGUCGAGCGAAGCACUUGGUUUGAAGUUUUCGGAUGGAGCACCAUUUGACUGAGCGGCGGACGGGUGAGUAACGCGUGGGGAACCUGCCUCAUACAGGGGAAUAACAGUUAGAAAUGACUGCUAAUGCCGCAUAAGCGCACAGUGUCGCAUGACACGGUGUGAAAAACUCCGGUGGUAUGAGAUGGCCCCGCGUCUGAUUAGGCAGUUGGCGGGGUAACGGCCCACCAAACCGACGAUCAGUAGCCGACCUGAGAGGGUGACCGGCCACAUUGGGACUGAGACACGGCCCAAACUCCUACGGGAGGCAGCAGUGGGGAAUAUUGUACAAUGGGGGAAACCCUGAUGCAGCGACGCCGCGUGGGUGACGAAGUAUUUCGGUAUGUAAAGCCCUAUCAGCAGGGAAGAAGAUGACAGUACCUGACUAAGAAGCCCCGGCUAACUACGUG
rnacentral:rRNA from 1 species